CCCUAUUAUUUUAGGAUGUUAAUUGGUUUAUGCCUGAGUAGUAUUAGUUAUGUUCUUGAAACUUAAAGAAUUUGGCGGUAUCUCAUUCCUUCCAGAGGAAUCUGUCUCGUUAUCGAUAGUCCACGUUGGACCUUACUUGGUUGAUUAGGUUUGUAUACCGCCGUUUAUUGAUUAUCUUUUUAGGGUUAUUUUUAAUUUUCUGGUAUCUCCAUUUUGAUAUAUUUCAGGUCAAGGUGCAGCUUGUUUCUAAGUGGAAUGAUGGAUUACAUUGUAAUUUGGUUUAUUGGAUUGUGAAUUUUAAUAUUGGCAUGAAAGUGGAUUUGGUUGUAAUAAUUUUUAGAUUGUUAUUAUGAUAGUGGUUCUGAGAUAUGCACACAUCGCCCGUCGCUCUCGUUUAUUUUUGAUGAGAUAAGUC
rnacentral:rRNA from 1 species